rnacentral:rRNA from 1 species
GACGAACCGUGCGAACGUUGUUCGGAAUCACUGGGCUUAAAGGGCGCGUAGGCGGGCAGGCAAGUCAGGGGUGAAAGCCCACGGCUCAACCGUGGAAGCGCCUUUGAUACUGCCGGUCUCGAGGGAGGUAGGGGCGUGCGGAACUUCCGGUGGAGCGGUGAAAUGCGUAGAUAUCGGAAGGAACACCGGUGGCGAAAGCGGCGCGCUGGACCUCUUCUGACGCUGAGUCGCGAAAGCCAGGGGAGCAAACGGG